ensembl:lncRNA
ACUUAAGGGUUAGCAGUGGAGGAAAAGGUAUCUUGCUUCUAACCUGAGGCCUUCUAAAGGGCUGAGCUUCAAAGCUUGGGCUCAUCCAUUCCUUUUCAUGGAAGCACAAGUGUGCUGCAGAAGAUGUCUCUCUCAGAAAACUUUGGCUGUGCUGGAAUAGAGGUGAUCUGUCACACAGCACCCUCUUUGAGGGCUAAGGAUGGUUAACAAGAGAAGAUCCACCCAGUACAGCAGGGCAAGGUGAUGUUUGCCAACAGGCUUCCCAGCCUAGAGAAGUGAGGUUUAGACUCAAAAGUGAGGUACUCUGGCUGUAGUGAGAGGUAGAGGAUGAAGAGAGGUUGGAGCAACAAAAAGCUCAAGAAUAACAAAACUGGGUUUAAAGAGCCCAAAGAGUUUUCCACAAAUGUUUAUACAGUAAAAAGAAGGAAGAUCCAGAGCUCCACAUGUGGUUUCUGAGAUCUGAUACUGUUCAUAUAACUGAAAUGUGGUGGGAUGUCUUGUGCAAAUGCUUGGUUAUGGUGGAACAAAACCAAACGCCUUCUUUAAACAACAUAAGGAAGGCUUUACAUCACACAUCACAUUCUUGUUCCUUGGAGAUUUUAAUAUCCCUAACUUCUGCUGGAAGGACAACACAGAAGGACACAGGCAGUUAUGACGAUUUCUGGGAGAAGUUAGGGAGAACUUCAAGUACAGAGUGUGCCAGCCAGGGAUGAGUCAUGGCUGGGUCAUAUAUAAUUGUCUGAGAAUGUUGGAAAGUUUGGUGGAUAUCAGUCUUGUAGCUUUGGUAAAAAUAAGCCUGAUGAAAACAAGACAAUUUGGCCUAUUGAACCUGGAGAAGACAAGGCUCUAGGGAUUGUUAUCUAAUCUAUUAUCAGCCUUCCAGUUCCAGUGAGUAGCAUUUCGAGAAUAUAUGGUGGGAUGAUGGGAUACUAAGGUGAAACAAGAAAGGCUAAAGCUGGAGCAGAAGAUUGGACUACAGACCUGAGACUCUUUCUAAAUCAAAUGAUCCUGUAGUGAGGGACAAGGAGUAGGAGAUUACUGCAUGCCAGGAUUAAGACAGAUUUUGUUUUCAGUGAAAUGACACAAGUAUUCCAACAUGUAUUAAUGUAUUUAUUAUUUUAUUAUUGAAUUUAUUCUGCAACUGAAUGCAGAUAUUCUUAAGGCUGUCCAAAGAGUCUGUUAACACAGACACAAAGUCUUUACAUGUAUUAGAUUUUUACUUUGAUAAAUGAGUUUUCAGGAUUAUCCAUUACUUCAGAAGUAGACAACUACCUCUCUACUGGCUUGCUUAGGAUUUGUCUGCUGAGUGUGCUGAGUUCCUGAUUUAGAUGAUCUGUAAGUCCAUGAAUGGAUAAUUUAGCACAUGGUGAUUAAGAUCUAGGAUUUAAUCAAAACCUGAGCUAUGGCUACUUGAUCUCAUUAUGUGGUGAAGACAGACGUUGUGUAGCAGUUAAAACCUUAGAGAGAAAAACUGAAAAUAAUAC